AUGGUUGGUUCUCUGGCGGCACUGGAUCGGGCACGGGCGCAGAGCUCCUGCUCGGGGACGCGAAGAUCCAGGGAGGCACUCUCCCAUUCAGUUAACCUUACUAUCGGUUCCUGGGUGCAGCCCCGGCCGCCAUCGCCUGAACGGCGCGGACGCGUGCUUCUCCCCAGGGAGGGCCAUGCCGCUGCAGAUGAAACUGAAUCCCCUUCCGAGCCGGCGAACAUGACAUGGUUGGUUUCACGGGAUCGACUCGGCUACCUACAGAAGUGCCACCAAUCUGAAGUUCUGAACCAAGCUAUUGCGUCAAGGUUGAUUCAUAUGAUUCUUCAGCGGCAGCAAAAGUUUUUCAUGUACAUUCCUUCCUAUAAGCGACGGGCGCGACACGCACCUCCAACCAAUGCUUUCCCCGGUGAUCCCCGGCCACGAGCACGUCUAUCCCCUACAAGCCGCUACCGGUGCUCCCUCUCCGCUGGAUGCGGCAAGGUCGUGUGA
rnacentral:rRNA from 1 species